rnacentral:rRNA from 1 species
GGUGAGUAACACGUGGGCAACCUGCCUGUAAGACUGGGAUAACUCCGGGAAACCGGGGCUAAUACCGGAUAACUUCUUUCUUCGCAUGAAGAGAGGUUGAAAGACGGUUAUGCUGUCACUUACAGAUGGGCCCGCGGCGCAUUAGCUAGUUGGUGGGGUAACGGCCUACCAAGGCGACGAUGCGUAGCCGACCUGAGAGGGUGAUCGGCCACACUGGGACUGAGACACGGCCCAGACUCCUACGGGAGGCAACAGUAGGGAAUCUUCCGCAAUGGACGAAAGUCUGACGGAGCAACGCCGCGUGAGUGAAGAAGGCCUUCGGGUCGUAAAACUCUGUUAUCAGGGAAGAACAAGCAUCGUUUAACUGACGGUGCCNUGACGGUACCUGACCAGAAAGCCACGGCUAACUACGUGCCAGCAGCCGCGGUAAUACGUAGGUGGCAAGCGUUGUCCGGAAUUAUUGGGCGUAAAGCGCGCGCAGGCGGCUUCUUAAGUCUGAUGUGAAAGCCCACGGCUCANCCGUGGAGGGUCAUUGGAAACUGGGAGGCUUGAGUGCANAAGANGAGAGCGGAAUUCCACGUGUAGCGGUGANNUGCGUANAGAUGUGGAGGAACACCAGUGGCGAANNNGGCUCUCUGGUCUGUAACUAACGCUGAGGCGCGAAAGCGUGGGUAGCGAACAGGAUUAGAUACNNUGGUAGUCCACGCC